rnacentral:misc_RNA from 1 species
AUUUUUUACAGGAGUGUUAAUACAUCUAAUAAGGAAGAUCAUAAAAUAAUCUUGGUAGACGUUUUAAUUUUAAAUUGAAUGAAUAAGUAAGAAUAACUCAUAAAAAUAAUGUAGGGUCUUGAUUUCGCUAAUAUUUCUUUAAUAACACUGCUUUAUUAAUGGUGGUGGUGCCUGGUGAUAGUGGUGGUUAUUGGCUUCUAGCUCAAACAAUGCUGUGCCUACUGCCAAUCUGCCAUUUCCAAUUUAUAGGGAAAACAGUCCAGUGAGCGAUGAAUGUUACUGCAAUUGGUAGAUUUGAAUUUUAAUAGUAAUUGAUUCCAACCACUUUAAUAAUCGACCAAUUUUGGAUACGAAGUCAGAAAAAUGCAUGAAUUUUUCACUUAACACGGUGCAUGGAGAAAAGUAAUUUAUACGGUGUACAGUACGUUACUGUUGAUUGAGUGUAAUUGGGUUGGGGCCUAUUUGCUUUUAAUAUAUAUGAAAACCCACUUAUUGAUUUUAUAUCUUACUGGCUUGUAUCUUUUAGAAGUGGUAGGUGAAGCAAGUUCAAUUUCAAGAUGUUAAACGUUUAUGCUUGAAUGAAGCUGCUUGUUGGAUCCAUAUACAAAGCUAAAACUUAUUUACUAAAUGAAUGAAUUUGUAUGUAUUAUAUUGGAUGUGCAUGGUCCAG